rnacentral:ncRNA from 1 species
GUGAGUACUCCAUCACAUGUGACUUCUGUUAAUAAUGGCACUGCUGUCUUUCUCUGUUUUCUUUUUUUUUUUUNNNGUUGGCCAUAUUUCCACUUAAACAUCCAGAGGCUUUUACUUUGGAAAAAAAAUAUGGUUCAAAGCAGGCCUAGUUGCCUUAAUAUCAUAGCAAAGAAUAAAGGACUUUUAUUCUGUCUUGUGGGUUUCCUGAACUGGGGCUGUGAUUAAUAGGGAUGACUGUGAAUACUGGUGUUGUAUCCCAAGAGGUAAAAUUCUUUAACCAGCACAAAAUGGAUGAAAACAAAAGCAUUUGCCAAGAAUGUUUUCAUAAAGAAAUAACAGCUGAAGUUUGAAUAUGAUCAGAUACUGUCUCAGUCAUAGUCAAUGCCAGGCUAGCAAUGAAGCAAAGUUAUUUCAGUGACUUCCUGAGCAGUAUGUGGGGAACCCAGAUAUUAUGGU